rnacentral:lncRNA from 1 species
GCUCUUGCAGUGUUCUCCCCGCAGGUGCUGCAUGGAGUGAGUGGCGGCAUCCACCGUGAGGAGGAGAGGAGCUCUGAUACCCUCAGGACCCGCCAGGAGGGGCAUCACGGAGGCUUCUGGACGACUUGGAGCUGUGUCCUGGGGAGAAAACCGCUCCUGUCUGGGCCCUGAGUGCUGAGGAGGAAGCUGCCAUGCACUUUUCCCUGGCAUUUUUCCUGCAUGGAGAGAGAGGUCCAAGGUGCCCUACAUCGUGCGUCAGUGCGUGGAGGAGAUCGAGCGCCGAGGCAUGGAGGAGAUAACAAGGACGUGUCAGUGAUGAUGAGCGAGAUGGACGUGAACGCCAUCGCAGGCAUGCUGAAGCUGUACUUCCGUGAGCUGCCCGAGCCCCUCUUCACUGACGAGUUCUACCCCAACUUCGCAGAGGGCAUCGGAUGGCAGAGAAGGAGGCAGUCAAUAAGAUGUCCCUGCACAACCUUGGCACGGUGUUUGGCCCCACGCUGCUCCGGCCCUCCGAGAAGGAGAGCAAGCUCCCUGCCAACCCCAGCCAGCCCAUCACCAUGACUGACAGCUGGUCCUUGGAGGUCAUGUCCCAGAGGGAUUUUUGUGCAGAAAUGGGUCUUUUGUUGCCGUGUUAGUCCUCCUUGGAAGGCAGCUCAGAAGGCCCGUGAAACGUCGGGGGACAGGACCCCCAGGGAGGGAAUCCCAGGCUACGCACUUUAGGGUUCGUUCUCCAGGGAGAGCGACCUCGUCCCCCGAUCCUGACCGCCCUUCCGGCCCACGCUCUCCUGUUUGGCUUCCACAGGCCUGGACUUCUCUGGCUUCUCUGCCCACACACUCCCUGCCCCCAGUGUCCCUGCCCCUGCCCCAGCACAGGUGACUUCAUUUCUGUCCUCUCAGCUCAGUGGACUCGCUCAACUUUUGUAUAAGUCUCCACUUGGUGGUAGCAGCUUGCUGAUGACUUGUUUUAAAACUUUCAUCCU